UACGUAGGGUGCAAGCGUUAAUCGGAAUUACUGGGCGUAAAGCGUGCGCAGGCGGUCUUGUAAGACAGAGGUGAAAUCCCCGGGCUCAACCUGGGAACUGCAUUUGUGACUGCAUCGCUGGAGUGCGGCAGAGGGGGAUGGAAUUCCGCGUGUAGCAGUGAAAUGCGUAGAUAUGCGGAGGAACACCGAUGGCGAAGGCAAUCCCCCUGGGCCUGCACUGACGCUCAUGCACGAAAGCGUGGGGAGCAAACAGG
rnacentral:rRNA from 1 species